GGGAGGGGCGUGAGGCCACCGUCCCCGUACCGCUCCGCCGCCCCGCGGGUCCCGCGCCCCAGGCCCUGCAGGGGCCGCUGGGGGGACCGCUGUAGGGCGGGACGGGGGCGACUGCCGCCCCCUCUACAGGAGGGGAGACUGAGGCUCCGGCUGGCGGGAGGGCCCCGGCGAGUCCUCUGCUCUCCGCUCGCAAGCGCACGCAACGGCCGCGUCUCUCGGGCAGCGGUGGCGCGUUCCCCGGGAUUUGUGCUGGCUUCGUCUGGACUCACUGGCUGGAACUCGUCUGUACCAGUGAAUUGGUCUGAGUCCAUCUGCUACCGUCGCGGUGGGAGCCCAGUUUCAUUUUUAAAGAAAUAAAACUGCUGCUAGAUGACUGGAAAGCUAAAUGGAAAGGCGUGGUACAGUGUCUAAAGAUGAUAAGGAGAGCUUGUUGCCCAGCAGCGUGCAAGGAUUUCUUAAACAAAACCUCAGAAGUACAUGGACGGAUCUGAUUAUGUCAAAAUGAAAGGUGUCUGGGGCGCCUGGGUGGUGCAAUCAGUUAAGCGUCCAACUCUUGGUUUCAGCUCGGCUCAUGAUCUCAAGGUCAUGAGAUUGAGCCCUGCAU